rnacentral:rRNA from 1 species
AGUGAACGCUAGCGGUAGGCCUAACACAUGCAAGUCGAACGGCAGCACAGUAAGAGCUUGCUCUUACGGGUGGCGAGUGGCGGACGGGUGAGGAAUACAUCGGAAUCUACUUUUUCGUGGGGGAUAACGUAGGGAAACUUACGCUAAUACCGCAUACGACCUACGGGUGAAAGCAGGGGAUCUUCGGACCUUGCGCGAUUGAAUGAGCCGAUGUCGGAUUAGCUAGUUGGCGGGGUAAAGGCCCACCAAGGCGACGAUCCGUAGCUGGUCUGAGAGGAUGAUCAGCCACACUGGAACUGAGACACGGUCCAGACUCCUACGGGAGGCAGCAGUGGGGAAUAUUGGACAAUGGGCGCAAGCCUGAUCCAGCCAUACCGCGUGGGUGAAGAAGGCCUUCGGGUUGUAAGGCCCUUUUGUUGGGAAAGAAAAGCAGCAGGUUAAUACCCCGCUGUUCUGACGGUACCCAAAGAAUAAGCACCGGCUAACUUCGUG